AUGUGCAAUGGCACCACCUGCCUCUACAACGUGAACUAUGGUGACGGUUCAUCCACGUCUGGCGCACUCUCACAGGAGACGCUGACGUUCUCCUCGUCGCGCAAGUUCUCCAGCUUCCCGUUCGGAUGCGGCACGACCAACCUGGGUGACUUUGGCAGCGUCGACGGGCUGCUUGGCCUUGGCCGUGGCCAGCUCUCGCUGGCCUCGCAGACGGCCUCCUCGUUCGAUGGCACCUUCUCCUAUUGUCUGCCGUCUCACAACAUGACGAGGCCCGGGUUCCUCAGCAUUGGCGCCGCCCCAGACAUCGGCAAGGUCCAGUACACGGCGAUGAUAAAGAAGCCGCAGUACCCAUCCUUCUACUUCGUGGAGCUCGUGUCCAUCGACAUUGGUGGCUACGUCCUGCCGGUGCCGCCAUCCGUGUUCACCAGCAAGGGCACCCUGCUCGACUCCGGCACCACGUUCACGUACAUCCCUGCGCAGGCCUACAACUUGCUCCGCGACCGGUUCAAGUUCACCAUGAAGGGGUACAAGCCGGCGCCACCCUUCCAAGACCUCGACACGUGCUAUGACUUCUCUGGCCAGAGCGUGAUCUUCCAACCAGGGAUGUCCUUCAAGUUCAGCGAUGGAGCCGUGUUCGAUAUCGACAUCUUCGGGGUCAUGAUAUACCCUUAUGUGGACCACCCGGCCAUCGGUUGCUUCGCGUUCGCGUCGAGCGAUCCCACGGAUCAGUUCUCCAUCAUCGGCAACACUCAGCAGCGUUCUGCUGAGGUGAUCUACGAUGUCGUAGCCGAGAAGAUUGGUUUUGUUCCGCUGAGUUGCUGA
rnacentral:rRNA from 1 species